UUUUUGGUUAGUGGUGUAAUCCCAUUCCUGGCCCGCAGUCCGCACAAUCGAUAACAACAAAGCUACACGUCUGUAGCAAAACAGACUCACACAACACUACUCAAAAUGAACCACAUAAUCGAUAACAAAUAUUCGGAACUGCUAACUCAUGAACAAAAUAAACAGCUGUAACAACAAUGAAAAUGUAAACAACAAAGAUUGGGCCCCGGUUCCGGACCCAGCGUACCCGCCCCACCAUGAGACGAUCACCUGCACUCGUCUCCCUCUUUUUGACGUGUCGGCCAUCAUGCCCACUCUCCCCAACAAUAUGAAUUUAGCCGGACAUUCUUUUCUUUCAAUUACUAUUUAGAAUCUCAUGCAAGUGGAUAUUUCGUUAACUUCACAGGUGCAUAUAAUGAGGUCUCCAUUCAGAUUAAUUAUUUUUCAUGCACGUAAACAUUUCUUCUCCAGAAUUCAUUUUUUUUAUUUUUAACAGAACUAAAUGGAACAGGCGACGAAAUACUACAAAGAUAUUGCUAGUCGCCGCAAAAAGAGACAAGCAAGGGGGCAAUUUAGAGGCAAUCGUUGCGCCGAUAUAGGAACAAUGUGCCCGCACAAAUACUGAGAACUGGGUAUGUCACGAUAAUCAGUCGUGCAGCAGGUAGGUGAUAUAUAUCUGUAUUAAAUCGCUUAAUUCUACCUUACUCUACCUAAAGAGCUCUCUGGGGGGUGGUAAGGGGCGAUAUAAGUGGGUAAUCCAAACUAGGCGCAGGUGCAUCACCUUUGGAGUUUCCCUCACCGUUCGCACUCUUAAGUGGCGCUCGGCGUAAGUGCCUAUGGAGUACAAUCAGGAGUCUUCAUCUGACUCUGCCAAGGGCUCGAGCGAAGAGGGGCAAAAUGGAACGGACUCACUCGGAGGAUGUGGGCGUGUCUCGCCUGUGGACGCUUCUUCGUUGUUGGAGCCCGGUCGUUGGUGGCUCGUCUCGUCGCCUUCAGGGUUGCGCCGAUGCUUGGCUGGCGGCGUCGCGGAUAUGUCUGGUGAAUCGCCGAAUCCUGGCCUUUGAGAUGUUUCAUGGCCCUCUCUGGUGCGGGAGCUGGUCCCUUCGUUGCCGGAGCCGUUUACUUUGCUAACAGUCCUCUGAUUUUUAUUGGUUCGGCUCUCGUCGCACUUAAGUUUUAAGUCUCUUUUAAUUUUAUAUAUUUGGUGACUCGAAUGGUUCAAUUCACGUAUAUUUAUUAAAUUGC